rnacentral:rRNA from 1 species
CUAGGGUCAUUUAGAAGGAAGUAAAAGUCGUAACAAGGUCUCCGUUGGUGAACCAGCGGAGGGAUCAUUACAGAGUUCUAAAAGACUCCCAAAACCAUUGUGAACGUACCCGUCAGCGUUGCCUCGGCGGGCGGCCCCUCCCUGGGGCCGCUGCCUCCCUCGGGGGGUGCCCGCCGGCGUACCAAAACUCUUUUGUAUUUUAGUGGCCUCUCUGAGAAAACAAGCAAAUAAGUUAAAACUUUCAACAACGGAUCUCUUGGUUCUGGCAUCGAUGAAGAACGCAGCGAAAUGCGAUAAGUAAUGUGAAUUGCAGAAUUCAGUGAAUCAUCGAAUCUUUGAACGCACAUUGCGCCCGCCAGUACUCUGGCGGGCAUGCCUGUUCGAGCGUCAUUUCAACCCUCAAGCCCUGCUUGGUGUUGGGGUCCUACGGCUGCCGUAGGCCCUGAAAGCUAGUGGCGGGCUCGCUAUAACUCCGAGCGUAGUAGUAAAAUAUCUCGCUAGGGAGGUGUCGCGGGUUCCGGCCGUGAAAGCCCAUCUUUUACACAAGGUUGACCUCGGAUCAGGUAGGAAUACCCGCUGAACUUAAGCAUAUCAAUAAGCGGAGGA